rnacentral:rRNA from 1 species
GGGUGAGUAACACGUGGGUAACCUACCUAUAAGACUGGGAUAACUUCGGGAAACCGGAGCUAAUACCGGAUAAUAUAUUGAACCGCAUGGUUCAAUAGUGAAAGACGGUUUUGCUGUCACUUAUUAGAUGGAUCCGCGCCGCAUUAGCUAGUUGGUAAGGUAACAGCUUACCAAGGCAACGAUGCGUAGCCGACCUGAGAGGGUGAUCGGCCACACUGGAACUGAGACACGGUCCAG